rnacentral:rRNA from 1 species
UGCGUAGGUGGCAAGCGUUGUCCGGAUUUACUGGGCGUAAGGAGCGCGCAGGCGGUCGUUCAAGUCGCGUGUGAAAGCCCCCGGCUCAACUGGGGAGGGUCACGCGAUACUGAUCGACUCGAAGGCAGGAGAGGGUAGUGGAAUUCCCGGUGUAGUGGUGAAAUGCGUAGAUAUUGGGAAGAACACCUGAGGCGAAGGCGGGUUGCUGGGCCGACACUGACGCUGAUGCGCGAAAGCCAGGGGAGCGAACGGG